UGGGGAAUAUUGGACAAUGGGGGCAACCCUGAUCCAGCGAUGCCGCGUGUGUGAAGAAGGCCUGCGGGUUGUAAAGCACUUUAGUUGGGGAGGAAAGGUAUGUACUGCAUAAGUGCAUGCUGUGACGUUACCCAAAGAAUAAGCACCGGCAAACUCUGUGCCAGCAGCCGCGGUAAUACAGAGGGUGCAAGCGUUAAUCGGAAUUACUGGGCGUAAAGCGCGCGUAGGUGGUUUGUUAAGUUGGAUGUGAAAUCCCCGGGCUCAACCUGGGAACUGCAUUCAAAACUGACAAGCUAGAGUAUGGUAGAGGGUGGUGGAAUUUCCUGUGUAGCGGUGAAAUGCGUAGAUAUAGGAAGGAACACCAGUGGCGAAGGCGACCACCUGGACUGAUACUGACACUGAGGUGCGAAAGCGUGGGGAGCAAACAGGAUUAGAUACCCCCGUAGUCCCUGAGCGGGCUGGCAAGGCGCAU
rnacentral:rRNA from 1 species